AAAAAAGUAGUAUCGGAGAGAAAUUUAUGCUUUUCCUUGUUAUCGAUGGAUAAAAGAAGAUUUUGUGGUUUAUGAAGGAGCUGCCAUUUUGCCCAAUUCUCCUGACAAUGUCGAAGUGCUCAAACAGCAA